rnacentral:tRNA from 1 species
GGAGAGAUGGCUGAGUGGUCGAAAGCACCGGUCUUGAAAACCGGCGAUGUGAAAGCAUCCGUGGGU